GUGAAAGACUGAAAAUAACGUAAAAAUAUCAGAUGGAAAGAGAAGUAAAUUCAGGAGAACUUCAAUUUUGAUGAAGUUGAACAAUAUUUGAACGCUCUGAACUUGAAAGGCGGCAUUAAACAUGUGCUUAUGAAGCGGUACUUCGGCCGCAAGCACGAAGCUAAAGAAGAAUUUCUUUGUAAUGGAAGUUAUGACGAUGUCGAAAGAGCAAGGGCAUACCACCCCAAGGAUAUGCCUUAUGAAAAAUGGUUGAGAACUAUUGAUCACUUCUUGGACCGCAAAUAUAUUGCAAGAUGUGAGGCAAACACAAGAGUCCGCCAGCUUCAACAAUUCCCAAACAGUGGGGGUACAACGUCAUACAGUAGCACCGCCUAUAAACAUGUAAUGUUUUAUAUGUGUGUGUUUGUAUGUUUAUGUUUAUUUAAUGUCUAAUCUAAGUUUUAAUGUUAAACAGGGUUUGAAACAUUUCGAUACGUACUGCGAAACUCACACCGAUAAAGAUGGGAAUUGAGUUGACUCGAUAGCCGAGCAGAAUUAUCUUAAUUUAGAACACGAGAUUAUGGGCGGAGAAAGCGGUGGUUCUCCACCGCCGAAUGAGGUUGCCGUGUUUCAAAAUGUGUUGGGUGAUCGACAAGGAUGGUUCCGGGGGCUUGGCCAUAAACCUUCUUCAAAUAUGCCAUCGAAUGUGUCAAGUGCGCAACCUCAAACCCAGCAACCCUUUUCGGAGGUAAACUAUUGAUGUGCACAAAAUGCAACAUAUAAAUUACAUCAGUUGUGGCAUAAAACUAACCCUUUUUAGUACUAAUGUUGGAAAAAGUGUGCUUUUGUCUUCCUUUUGUAUUU